AUUGAACGCUGGCGGCAUGCCUAACACAUGCAAGUCGAGCGGCAGCACGGGGGCAACCCUGGUGGCGAGCGGCGAACGGGUGAGUAAUACAUCGGAACAUGCCCAGUCGUGGGGGAUAACACUUCGAAAGAAGUGCUAAUACCGCAUACGUCCUGAGGGAGAAAGCGGGGGAUCUUCGGACCUCGCGCGAUUGGAGUGGCCGAUGUCAGAUUAGCUAGUUGGUGGGGUAAAGGCCUACCAAGGCAACGAUCUGUAGCUGGUCUGAGAGGAUGAUCAGCCACACUGGGACUGAGACACGGCCCAGACUCCUACGGGAGGCAGCAGUGGGGAAUUUUGGACAAUGGGGGCAACCCUGAUCCAGCCAUUCCGCGUGAGUGAAGAAGGCCUUCGGGUUGUAAAGCUCUUUCGGCAGGAACGAAACGGCGAGCUCUAACAUAGCUUGCUAACGACGGUACCUGAAGAAGAAGCACCGGCUAACUACGUGCCAGCAGCCGCGGUAAAAC
rnacentral:rRNA from 1 species